CCAGGGGAAGAGUAGGAGGCAAAGUGUGUUGUUUUAGUGUCGGUGGGGUUGGGGGGGGGCGUACAGAACUGUCACACACACACACACUGACCCCGCCACACACCCCGAAGGAGUCCAACACACACUCUGCCACACACACUCACCCCGAAGAAUCCAACACACACCCUGCCACACACACUCACCCCGAAGAAUCCAACACACACCCUGCCACACACACACACCAAAGCAGAGAAAACACACAGUACUUCCCAAAACAAAAACAACAAGUCAACAACACAAGACCGAGGAACACGAAAUGGAGAAAAACAAAGGACUUAACGUAAUGAAGCCAGAGGAUGAGAAGACUUGAGGAAUUGAACAUGAAGGUGAAUAUGUAAGAAGAGGAGGAUGAGAGGAACGAUCCUCCGUGCUGCUUCUUCUACUGCUCAGAGUACAGCAGUGAUUAGGGUCGCUUUGGUCUCAGCUGAGUGGAUAUGGUUUGAACAGGAUUUGCUGUAUCAGUGAGCUCUAACGGGAGGGGGUGGGGAAUGAGAGCCUCUGCACCACCAGGAUAGAGAACUGGCAUGUUGAAAGUGAGGGAGGGAGGGAUGAGGGGGGUGGGGAACGCGAGCCUCUGCACCCCAGGAUAGACCCUAACCCUAGACUGAGCUGUAGAACUCUGCAUUUUUCAUAUUGCACCCUAACCAUAAGCCCUAACCUUGACUCCCAACCAACAACUCAACCUCUAAUCUUAACCAACACCUCAACCCCUAACCCCAACCAACACCUCAAUCCCUAACCCCAACCAACACCUCAACCCCUAACCCCAACCAACACCUCAACCCUUAAUCUUAACCAACACCUCAAGCCCUAACCCCAACCAACACCUCAACCCCUAACCUUAACCAACACCUCAACCCCUAACCUUAACCAACACCUCAACCCCUAACCUUAACCAACACCUCAACCCCUAACCCCAACCAACACCUCAAGCCUUAACCUUAACCAACACCUCAAGCCCUAACCUUAACCAACACCUCAACCCUUAAUCUUAACCAACACCUCAAGCCCUAACCCCAACCAACACCUCAACCCCUAACCUUAACCAACACCUCAACCCCUAACCUUAACCAACACCUCAACCCCUAACCUUAACCAACACCUCAACCCCUAACCCCAACCAACACCUCAAGCCCUAACCUUAACCAACACUUCAACCUUUAACCUUAACCUUAACCAACACCUCAACCCUUAACCUUAACCAACACCUCAAGCCCUAACCUUAACCAACACCUCAACCCUUAACCUUAACCAACACCUCAAGCCCUAACCUUAACCAACACCUCAACCCUUAAUCUUAACCAACACCUCAAGUCCUAACCCUAACCAACACCUCAAACCCUAACCUUAACCAACACCUCAACCCCUAACCUUAACCAACACCUCAAGCCCUAACCCUAACCAACACCUCAAGCCCUAACCCCUAACCAACACCUCAAGCCCUAACCCCUAACCAACACCUCAAGCCCUAACCCCUAACCCCAACCAACACCUCAAGCCCUAACCUUAACCAACAGCUCAACCUCUAACCUUAACCAACAGCUCAACCCCUAACCCUAACCAACACCUCAAGCCCUAACCCUAACCAACACCUCAAGCCCUAACCCCUAACCCCAACCAACACCUCAAGCCCUAACCUUAACCAACAGCUCAACCUCUAACCUUAACCAACAGCUCAACCCCUAACCUUAACCAACACCUCAAGCCCUAACCCUAACCCUAACCAACACCUCAAGCCCUAUCCCCAGCCAAUAGCUGAAACAUUGACCCCUAGCUAACGACCCUACCGCUGUACGUGUCCAUUUCUCUACCCCACACACACGUAUGCACGCGCAGAUAAACACACGAGCCAUAGAAUAGUGUCUAUAGGAUGCUAAUCCAUUGUUUCCAAAUCAUAUUUGGAAUGGAAUGGAUUACAUACUGAGCCUGGAGAAUCAGACUAUUUAAUCCAUUGCAUGCCCCCCCCUCCCCCUCCCAACACACACAUACACACACAUUUGUUCAUUACAGUGCCCAGACCUGGCACCUGAUCCCCAAUUCAAUUACCUCAUCAAUCAGUCACUCAGGCAGGUUACGGUACCAAUACGGUACCAAGCAUACACUAACGACACUAAAGUUAUCUUCCUCAAAGUGUACAGUAUCUACAGAAGUCAACACUUCAGGGCAGGAAUGGGCACUUCACUAGGCCACUAUGCUGAAGUGCACACUAGGAAACACUAAGUUACAUAAUACACAAGAAUAGGACAAUGCAUUAUGAAUAGAUUAUUAUCAAUAUGAUGUGAUGUGAUACUGUUAUGACACGCUAUAGAGAUGUACACAACAGAGCAAUAUACAGGAGGGUUGUUGAUGCCCAGGUACACUUCACGCCAGAAGAUCACCUCACAGGACAGAGGGGGGUUAAAACAGUGUAAAGAAACCCCUGAACCCCUGACAACCUGGUUGAUAUGUUCCAUUUAUAGUUCAUUAACAUUGAGCUGUUCUUGUUGCACCUGAUCUGACCUCUUAGAUACUGAAUCUAAAACACAACAACGCUCCUCCCACACACACACCCUUAUAUACACACACACACACACACACCCUUAUACACACACACACACGCACACACACACACACACUCUUUAUACACACACACACACAGCCUUACACACACACACACACACACACACACACACACACACAAUAUAGUUUUGUUUUGUUUCUAAUCUGUAUAUAUGACCCUACUUUUCACUCUUUAGUAAUAAGGUACAAGCAAUGAUUUCCAGAAUGCAAUUCUCUGUGUCACCGGGCCAUGUUCCCGUGGGAAAUGCUGGUGAUUGACUGAGAACGUGUUGCACAUUCCUUAAGCUCAGGACUUAUGGGUAGUGUAGUUUUGUGGAUCUUGGUGUAAGGUAGUCUUGUUCCCCAGAAGCCAGGAACAUGAGGUUAGCUAGGUUAUAAGGUAAAGGAAGUGUAGCCUAAAUGUUCCCCUUGUAGAGUUUAACAUAGGGCAAGCCUGUCUAGGAGGGCCUCUUGGAAAAUGGCCCACUACAUGCUCUGUGCUCAGACAAGAUGUAUGGAUGACUUUAUCAUCUACAUGAUCAAUCAGUCAACAGAUCAAUCAUGUAUCUGUCUCCCUCCUCUAGUUAGUCUGGGGGUGGGUUAAAGUGCUGUUUAAAGAGAAACCUCCGAAUAAUAAUACCUAACCAUUCCCUUUACUUCACUCCCCCCUUUAGAAGCUAAAGCAUGUUUGUAUGGAUAUAUCAUGGGAUAUAUGGACGUCUCAUGUUUGUAUGGAUAUAUCAUGGGAUAUAUGGACGUGUCACGUUUGUGAAAUGGCUGCAAUUUGAGCCGACAGGAAAGGGCGGAGUCACAUAGUGUUUACUGAUCAGUGAUUGGGAGAACAUUGGAAGUGACCUCAUUGACUACCCUCUUGCAACCUAUCGGCUACUUUUUAGUUAGUUUUAACCCCAGUUUUAGAGCAUUUACUCUCUGUUGUCUGCUGUGUUGUGAAGGCACCAGAUGAACUAAGACCACUGGACCAAAACACACUGAGGCUGGAAUUUAACUUAGAUUGAAUUCCGCACAGAGGGUCCAAACACGACUGUUUCGUAUACAAGUGGUCAGGUUGUGUACAGGUCAGUGAGUCUGUGAGUGGGAGAGUGUGAGCAGGAUGAAGUUGUCCCUAUACUCUGAUCUAGGGUCAGUACUAUGUUAUGUCUUUCCCCCCUAAUGGUUAAAGUCAGGAUUUGGAGAGCAUAAGCUGAUCCUAGAUCUGUACCUAAGGGCAACUUCUACUCAGAGUGUGAGAGUAUGUAGCAUGUACAUAGAUGAUCUGUCAGUCUGUAUAUAGGCAGUGUACAGGUUUGAUACGGCAGCAGACUCAGUCAGGUAACCUUAUUUUGAAAACCAGAGCAAUAUUUCUGUAUUGAUAAUCGGGCCAAGGCUGUAGAGUUCCGGACAGAUUCAUCCCUUUUUCAGUGAUGUAAUAAAGUUAGGAGAGUAAAUGUUUUCUUUUUAGAUUUGAGAGGUUUGAUGGAGUAUAACGCCUUAGCCUCCCUAUCACUGUCUUACUGUGCUUUGGUGACACCUAGUGGUCACACAACAUCAUCACAGUUUAAGGGGAGUGGAGUUCGUGUGAUGUGACGCGAGUGUGUGAGCUUACGAAGAGGUUUGGUGUGUGUGUGCAUCACAGAGCUCUUGCUAUGAUGGGUGAAAUAGUUGUGAACACUAAAUAAAAAUCCUUAGUUUGAUGGAGUGUUUUUCUCAUGAAAUACUUUAAAUAUUUUGUCUUCCUUUGAAGCCUUCAUGCAGUAAGUGUGUGUGGUUUAUUACAACCUCCCAGCCUGUCUUUGUGGAGGAUUACAGGACAGGAUUACACUCCUGUACCAAUACUACUGACAGC
rnacentral:lncRNA from 1 species